GCUAACUACAAUUGUUAUUGUUUUCACUGCCCUAUUAAAGUGCAUUACAUGCGUAUUUUCUAAAAUGGGUCCAAAAAGUCGACUGGAAAGGAGAUAAAUGUGAUUCCAAGUAGUCGAACGAAAAGAGAGUAUUGGACGGAUGGUGAAACUGACACCCUUUUGUUUAUUGUGUUAUCUUUGAGGAUGCUAUUUCUGGUGCUUUUAGUGCCGUAAUUACAAAAGAAAGUAGGAAGACUGCAUGGAUCGAAAUCACUGCAUUUAUUGCCAUGAAACAUCCUGAUUGCCCUGUAAAGACGGAGAGAAGUGUUCGAAAAAAAUGGAACAACUUCGAAACCAAAGAAAAGGCAGUCAUUCGCCAUCACCUUUCAGGAUUGAAUGAAACAGGUUGUGGCCCAUCGAAUCGACCACUCUGCAACUUGUUCCAAAAAUAUUGGGAGUAGUAUUUGGGAAUUUACAAUCCUUUUGUGGCUGCUGAAAUUGAUAUGGGUAUAGACACUGAGAAGGAUGUUGUCUUCAUGAACGAAGUUGAGAUGGCCGACCACAUUUUGGGAAGGCCAACUAGUAGCACACCAGCAGCAAUCAAUGAAGUCGGAUAAUGAAAGUGAUUGCAAUCUUCAGGAUGACGAGA